rnacentral:rRNA from 1 species
GGCAUUUCUGCACGACAGUGCGAUAGGGGGAUCCCAAGUGCACAGGCAUAGCGCCUGUGCUUUUCGGUACCCUAAGGCGGUACCAGAAUAAGGGCUGGGCAAGACCGGUGCCAGCCGCCGCGGUAAUACCGGCAGCCCAAGUGAUGGCCGAUCUUAUUGGGCCUAAAGCGUCCGUAGCUGGCCGCGCAAGUCCAUCGGGAAAUCCACCUGCUCAACAGGUGGGCGCCCGGUAGAAACUGCGUGGCUUGGGACCGGAAGGCGCGACGGGUACGUCCGGGGUAGGAGUGAAAUCCCGUAAUCCUGGACGGACCGCCGAUGGCGAAAGCACGUCGCGAGAACGGAUCCGACAGUGAGGGACGAAAGCCAGGGUCUCGAACCGGAUUAGAUACCCGGGUAGUCCUGGCCGUAAACAAUGUCUGCUAGGUGUGGCUCCCACUACGAGUGGGUGCUGUGCCGUAGGGAAGCCGCUAAGCAGACCGCCUGGGAAGUACGUCCGCAAGGAUGAAACUUAAAGGAAUUGGCGGGGGAGCACUACAACCGGAGGAGCCUGCGGUUUAAUUGGACUCAACGCCGGACAUCUCACCAGCAUCGACUGUAGUAAUGACGAUCAGGUUGAUGACCUUAUCCGAGCUUCAGAGAGGAGGUGCAUGGCCGCCGUCAGCUCGUACCGUGAGGCGUCCUGUUAAGUCAGGCAACGAGCGAGACCCGCACCCUUACUUGCCAGCAGUACCGCGAGGUAGCUGGGGACAGUAGGGGGACCGCCGUGGCUAACACGGAGGAAGGAACGGGCAACGGUAGGUCAGUAUGCCCCGAAUGUGCUGGGCAACACGCGGGCUACAAUGGUCGAGACAAAGGGUUCCAACUCCGAAAGGAGACGGUAAUCUCAGAAACUCGAUCGUAGUUCGGAUUGUGGGCUGCAACUCGCCCACAUGAAGCUGGAUUCGGUAGUAAUCGCGUGUCACAAGCGCGCGGUGAAUACGUCCUUGUCUGACACAAACCCGCCCCACAUACAUAAAAUACGUGGUGUUAGUUGCGGGAAAGU